CCUACGGGUGGCUGCAGUGGGGAAUAUUGGACAAUGGGCGAAAGCCUGAUCCAGCCAUGCCGCGUGUGUGAAGAAGGCCUUCGGGUUGUAAAGCACUUUCAGUGGGGAAGAAAGCCUUGGGGCUAAUACCCUCGAGGAAGGACAUCACCCACAGAAGAAGCACCGGCUAACUCCGUGCCCGCAGCCGCGGUAAUACAGGAGGGUGCGAGCGUUAAUCGGAAUUACUGGGCGUAAAGCGCGCGUAGGCGGUCUGAUAAGCCGGUUGUGAAAGCCCCGGGCUCAACCUGGGAACGGCAUCCGGAACUGUCAGGCUAGAGUGCAGGAGAGGAAGGUAGAAUUCCCGGUGUAGCGGUGAAAUGCGUAGAGAUCGGGAGGAAUACCAGUGGCGAAGGCGGCCUUCUGGACUGACACUGACGCUGAGGUGCGAAAGCGUGGGUAGCAAACAGGAUUAGAUACCCUGGUAGUC
rnacentral:rRNA from 1 species